rnacentral:lncRNA from 1 species
UUUUUUUUUUUUAAUGUUUGGUUGGUUUGGUUGGUUUGAUUUUGGUUUUAGGUUUUGAUAUUAAGGAGAGAAGAUUUAAGGAAUGCUCAAUUACCCUGGAAUAUCUGAUUAUUUUAAUACGCAGCAACACUCACUCACUCCUACAAACCCAUGACAAAAAAAAUCACAGGUGUCUCUAAGUUUUCACUCUCAGGUGGAGCAUGAAGUCUAUGUUACACAUACAAGAAGCUUCCCUAGCCCAUAAUCUCACAUAGCUGGUGUCUCUAAGAGUUUUAUUUCUCCCAUCAUUUCUUCUACCAUAAAUUUGCCAUAAGAGAGUUUCAUUUUCUUUUACAAGAAGACAGUUUAUCAAUUAUAUGUAUAACAUAUGCAAACAUUUAUUGACACAUAUAUAGUGGCCCGUGUCCAAUGAAUCCUAGUUAUAUAAUUCCAUGCAUGUUAUUUGGCAUAUGAGUUUUGUCAAAUAGUAGUUAGGGAUUUUGAUAUGUAGAGUUCAUAUUGAAAUGAUAUAGUGGAAUUAAUGCAAUCAUAAUGGUUCACAAUUAACUAGGGCUUGCAGUCAUAUUCAGAAAAGGGCUGAUAAGAAUGGAAAUGCUGAGGGAAAGAUUAGGGCUUUGAGUACAUAAUAUAUAGGGCAUCUUAAGAAUGCAAAAUUAGUGUAUUGAUUACUUACUUUGGCCUUUGGAGGGACAUAGUCCUUCUGAAUCCUUGAUUUUAGCUCAGUAAGAUUAUAUUUUCACCUUAGGAACUUAUCAACUAACUAUUUACUUAUUAAUUUGUAGACUUCAUGUUUUUACCAAUGUAAACUAUGAAUUUCUGUUUGUAAUUUUAACUGUAUUACAAAAUACUGGUCUUGUUUAACUUCAAUGAUUAACAACAUUAUUAUUAACUAGAUUCUAAAUAUAAACAGUGGGUUUUACCAGUUACUUAGCUGUCUUGUUCAAUGUCAGUCUAUUAGUUCUAACACCCCUCAUGUCUUCCUUGCAGAUAAACCCACUCAUCUCUUCCAUUUUGACAACUUUCUGUUCCUAUUAUUGUAUCUGUUGCCCUGCAUGGUUGUCUUCCUCAAGCUUACUCAACAUUAUCUCUUAGAGAUUUGAUGCUUAUAGUUGUUGAACUUGUCUUGUGGGAACAUUCAUGAACAAAGUCCUCUAGAAAAGCAUUAGGAUUCCAAUGUAAAUUCAAGCUUAUGAUACAUUUUGUAUUCCUUUUUGAAGAUUAGUGUAAGGUUUGCAUGAAGGUAUCAAUGGGAAGUUGUUGUUCAAGGAGAUCCAAAUGUGGCACGAUGACGAAUGUCAGUAUCCCCUGCAGAUGUAUUUGGUUUAAAUCUCCAUGUUUUUAUUUGUAAAGCAUAAAUACCCAUGGCUUCACCUGAGAGUUUCUAUAGUGUUUGACAUCUUAGUAAUAAUCAUCAAUGAUGAUGAGGAAGAAACUCUUGAUUGAGUACUUUCCUCUUGAUUCUCUCAUCUUCUCUGCAAGUUUGGACCUUAAAAGUGGACACCCAUUGGGAGCUCUUUUUUGUUUUUCUUCCAGUCCAGAUACUGCUCAUGUACUAGAGUUUCAUAUGAAUAAGAAGAAGGCACCAAAAAGAUUCAAUUCCAAAAAUUAAUAUUAGGAUAUGUAUUCUAGAAAAUGUUGAAUAUUAGGUUGAAGUAAUAAUGGAUUGUUUGAAAUACAUCCAACAACUUUUCAUAAUGAACUCAAUUUUUUUCUUUAUAAAGACAACUCUACUUAUACAACCUACUUAAAUGAAUGUUCAGAAGUUGCCUGUAAAAAUGUUCAAUAAAUAAUUAUGC